UACGUAGGGGGCAAGCGUUGUCCGGAUUUAUUGGGCGUAAAAGGCUUGUAGGUGGCCACGCCAAGUCGGAUGUGAAAAUCUCCCGGCUCAACUGGGAGGGGUCAUUCGAUACUGGCGGGCUCGAGGCCGGUAGGGGGAAGUGGAAUUCCCGGUGUAGUGGUGGAAUGCGUAGAUAUCGGGAGGAACACCAGUGGCGAAGGCGGCUUCCUGGACCGGUUCUGGACACUGAGGAGCGAAAGCGUGGGGAGCGAUCCGG
rnacentral:rRNA from 1 species